GGCUAUGGCUUAAGUGGUAGAGCACUUGCCUAGCAAGCUUGACACUUUGAGUUCUACCCUCAAUACUGCCA
rnacentral:tRNA from 1 species